AGAGGCGCCGCGGAGCCCUCCCCUCCCUUCCCCUCCCUUCCCCUCCCCUCCCCUUUCCCGUAUCGCCCAGCCGGGGUGGCUGAGCACGGUGGGCUGCUCCGCGGCCUGCAAACAGUCGCUGUCCUCCCACAGUCCCAGGGUGAUUAGGGCUGGAAGGGACCUCUGGAGAGCAUCCAGUCUAAUCCUGCUGUUACAGCAGGUCGUCUUAGAGCACGUUGCACAGAAUAGUGGGAUAAAGAGACUCCUUCAGAAGUGGUCAGGCCAGCUCUUGUCGAUGCUCUAGCUGGGAAAACCUGUCAGUGGUCGGUGUGCUCUGUUCUGUCUCGGAGCAGAAGACUCAUAUUUUCACUGUCUUUCAUAGUCUCUGCAUGCUUGCUAUCCUAUCUAUGAUGUAAUUUCCCCCAUAGUGUUUCUGUAUCUAUGUCUUUCUACCCAUAUAUCUAUCUAUAUAUCGGAUAUACAGAUAUAUUCUACAGGACAUAUCUAUAUCCUUGGGAAUAGGGAAUUUCUGAAAUUCCCCCAUAUGCUGUGGUCUGAAAAGACUAUCCCAUUGGAUUCACAGUUUAAAAACUGCCCCUGGUGAUGCUAAUGGAUGUAUUUGACGCUUUGCAAAAUAGCUACAGACUGCUGGAUUCUUUUUGCUGGUCUAAAGUUUGUCAAACAACUGUUCUUUGUGAUUUUUUUUUAAAACUCUAUGUGAUUGUCUCUUUGCUAUGUUAUGUUUUUUAAAUGCAGCCAGAUGGCAGUGAAACCUUUACUACACAUUGCAGUUCAGUUGUGAAAGGUAUUUUUAAGAAUGUCCCAGUUUGGGCUUUCUUUUAUUCCUGUUCAGUAUUUUCAGUCUAAAUGGUAUGCACUGUUUGAAAGAGAAUACAUAUUGUAAAACAGACCCUGUGAAAAAACUACUUAAAAUAUUUUAUGGCUUCUGAUGUAGGCUAUCCAAAAAUCGAAGUUCAUAGGAAUUGAAGUUGUAUCCAACUGAUACCUAAUUGUAAAUGUUUACUUAUACAAGUAGGGCUUUAUAGAGUUUACAACUGCAUCCUGCAUUAUAGUGUAGAAAAGGACCAAUUUUAUGAAUGGCCAGGCUUGGUGAGGCAGGCUGGGUUCUAAACUGUGCUUAAGGUAGCCUGAAAGCCCAUGAACAAUAGAGAGGAGGACUCAUCCAAAAAUAUUAAGGAGAAAGGUCUUAGCUGAAUGACACUUGUUUUUUUUCCAGGUCUUUACAACAGGAAAAACCUCCCCAACCUUGUGCUGGAAGACUGGGCAAGUUUACCUUGGUUCCGGGAAUGUGUAGCUUACUGUAUAGAUAGUCAGCCUUCCUGCAUUCUUGAUCGCUGAUUAGUGCUGCUCUCCAUCGGGCAUUUCCUCCUGACUUUGAAAAACAAUACUGAGAUAAACUGAAAUCAUCCGCCUUUUUUCCUGGUCUGAGAGCAGGAGUGGAGGCUGCUUUGUUGUGGGGUAAUAGCCACAAAAUUCUCCCUACUGAAAAGUUUUGGUGUUAAAAUGAGGAUUUUUAUUAGCAGAAAACCGUGGCUUUAGAAGAGAGAUUUCCCACCCCAUUCUCACUUAGAACAGCUGUCUCUUUCACAGUGAUUAAGAGUCAAGGUCAGUGUGAGAUGUUCCCCUCAGCAAUGCUGGCCACACGGUCUCGAUGGGCUACACCAGCUGCCAAGGGGCUGUGUCCUAGGUACCAGCAUGAACAGAUGUUUAAACAGUGGCCUGACUUCUGCUGAAGCACACUUGCAAAACCUUGACUUUCCUCAGCUGUAACUUGAGGGGUGAGUCACUCAUUUAGCAAAGAGCUGCAGCACCUGAAGGUUAUUACCCUGCUGCCAGGAGUUGCAGAGGUAGCAAGGGAGAGAGAGCAGGAUCUUGGAGUGAUCCACACUCACUUCGUUAAAGUGCAAUGACAGCCAAACCACCAGAGGCAGAAGGUUGAGGAAGACCCCUGAACUUCAAGAUGGAAGUGCUGCAGGUUACUCAAAUUCUGUGUUCCCUGCUUUGCUGAUAGGUCAGGGACCUCUGCCUGAGGGGAGUGACAAAGAGCUAAGGGGAGUUAAAUGAGUCAGUAGUAGCUAAAACUCUGUAGCUGUUUGCCCCAGAUGUACAACUGCAGUGCUAAUUCCUGUUACCUGGUGACGUCUCUUGCUUGUAAACUCCCAAUCAGUUGCUGAAACUGCUUUUGCUGAAAAGAUCUUGAAAUACCGCAUGGACUGAGAGAAAAAAAUGAGAAAUGUCUAGGUUUUCUGUAUUGCCUAGUCAGGAAAGCUUUUGUUAGGACUUCUCGAAGAUGUAAUGAAAAUUGCAGAGGUUUAAGACUGAGGAAAUUUCCUAUGCUGGUGGCUGGAGCUUUGUACGUUGUAUUAUGAAGAUUGAGUGGAAACUCCUUUGAGUGUGAAGUAGGAUAACAACACGCUCUUUGCAGUGUAGUUGCAGUUGUUUCUCCUCACAAUGCAGUGCCUUUUUGGUUAGGUAGCUUUUCUACUUGCCCUGUUGGGUAGCUAAUUUAAAAAUGAAAUAAAGAAAUGAUCCCCUCAAAAAGAAUCUUUGUUGGGGACUGAAAAAUUUAGCGAAAGGCACAUCGGAAGAAUGCUGUUCUGGACAGCACAAUCUGGACUGUGCUUUAGGGAUAUGUAAUCAAGAUGGGCAACUUGUCAGUGGUUGUAAAAAGAUUGAAGGAAAGUGAAGUCUCUGAAUUAUGAUGAAAUGCCUUCUGUGAUACCUCUUGGAGCUCCACUAACAUUGGGAAGGAAAGGUAAGAUUCACUGAUGGGAGGAACAAUAGUGGAUCAUUUUAACAGGCCCUUAGGCACAAGUUUAGCUGUGCAGGAUGCCUAGGCUUUUGAAGAAAAUUCAAACUAUUCUUUGUUCUUGCUUCAUAGCAGUGGUAUUUUCACACUUUAAUGUCCCUGGUCACCUUACCUGUGCUUGCUUUUGUCGUGGCUGAUCAAACCCAGGCUAAAUUAUAUAAACUUAUGGUAGUGUGAUAUAAGCGAAAAAUGUGCUAGACAGCAUUAGAGCUGUAUUUUUUCCUUGAGAUUUCAAGCAUGUAAUUAGAGUUUAGUUACUAACUUGAUGAUUAAAAUUCAGCAGUUGUUUUACGGAUAACUUAUGUCAAGAAGUGUCUCUUACAGAGUGGAAAAGGAGGGAGGUGGACUAACAAAUUUUGCAAUCUAAGUUGCAAUUUAAGAUAGUCUGUAAUUAGUAUGCUCUCCAAAUUGGUCCACACAAAUUCAGAAAUCAUGGUGAGGUACAGGAAAUAGAAGAUGCUAGGAAAAUACUUAGUCUAAAUUACUUGUGAAUUUGUGGAAGUAACACCUUCAGGUAGCUAAGUGCUGUUGCAUCCUGAGUUUAUCCUAUUACACUGUUGUGUGGAUACAACUUCUAAUUAAUCACUGUCGUGCAAGCAAGACAUUUGAUAGAAAUGUGUAUGUUCGUACUUAGUUUUUGAUGACUUUAUUUAGAAAGGUACCUCUUGGGAUUUAUUGUUGCAGUGCCCACAGCAGUGUGUUUGUGAGAGAGCAGUGUGAAUAGUACUGAAAGUGCCGUUGCUGGUUCACUUUGUGCUCAUUCUCUUUUUGGAUCUGCUUAGGUCCUCCAGAGCAGUUUGGGUCAAUGUUCCCUAUAGAUUGAGAGUUACAAUACUUGGGAAUAUUUAGGAAACAAUCUCCAGUCAUGUAUAUAAUUAAAGGGCUUAAUAGAGGUGUAUAAUUCCUCCAGGUCCUUGUGUAGAUUGUGAUAAGAAACAUGCAGAAGCCUAAGUGGAGCCUCCCUAAAAGCUCUGUUUCUUGGCAUUGGCUGGGUGCCAUUCAGAUUAUAUCUGUGUGCUGUGUGAGGUGGAAAGGAUGGUGACCAUUACAAUUCUACAAGGAACUGGAAGGACCUGGCAGCAGAUAACAAGCUCUGGUAUCACUGCUGACAUCACUGUGAAGGAUGAGAAUAAUCUCCUUAUUUUGCAGGUGCAGAAUGUGAGCUUUGGUUUGCUCAGAGUUGUGCAGGAAGUCUGGUAUAAGGAGGAAACUUCUGUGUAAUGCAGUUAGAUUGUAAAAUGAUCCUUCAGUCUGGUUGUAAAUGUGUAAGAAGCAAAGGAAGAACAUUAUGAGAAAAUAUCAAUAUUUAAUAUCCUGCCUUUAAUAGAUGGAGAAAAUAAAGCAUGGAUUACUGGGCUACAUUACCAUGUUCUGCUGAAUUGCUGCUGUUGAACUCAGAAAAAAUGUGAACAUCAAAUAUUUGUCAUUUUUUGAGAUGAGAGUGCUAGAUCCACCACAAGUUAAAUUCUAAUAAUUCAAGCAAGAUGAGGCCUGCUUUAAAAUACACAUUUAGUGAAAUUCAGGGCUCCUUGGCCUUCAUGAGGCUUAGAUGUCAGUUGAUCUCUGCAAAGGAGUUGCAAGACUACAGAAAAUAAAUUAGCCAUGUUCUGUGAUGGUCUUUAAUUUAAAUAAUGCUUACACAUAGGAUAUAGCUUUACCCAUUAAAAAGAGAAGCUGCUUUUCUUGACAGCUAAAAUUAUAAAGCACCAUAAUGUUGCAGAGUAGAAAAUAGAAAAAUUACAUAACUUAAUGGAUUGCCUUUAUUUUAAGUUAGUGUAUAAUUAAUAUUAUUUAGAAAGUCAAAAAAGAGAGAAAUCUUUUAUAUAAAUCAAAAAUAAGGCAUUCAACUCAGAUGAGGUUUUUUUUCUAAUCACAUAAAUCACUGUGCAUUUUGUCCCAAUGUAUAAUGUCAGAUUGUAUUAGCCCUAACAUUCACAGAAAACAUUGUCAGAAUAUUUAGUAUUUUACUAAUUUUUUUGUGAAAUUUACUUAACACAUUUAAUUAUUUCAAUCACAAGUUCCAUUGUAUGUCAGAGCUUGAAAAUGCAUUAUGAAGUCUUUCAAUAGAGUCCAUAUUUUUAUAUAUCUAAUUUUUUUGUUUGUCACUAAAUUAGAAGUGUUUGAAUUAAUUUAAAUUUGCAGAGCAAUUUAGGUAAAAGCAUCUUAAUUUGGCAAUAUUACAAUCAAAAAGCAUUGCAUGUAUUCUACUUGUAUUCUAUCAGUUUAUCACUUAUACCUGAUGGAUGCUGUAAAGGUUUUUGUCUCACAAGUUGGUGCAUUUCAUUUUAAUCCUACUGUGUGCCCAUUAGCAACUAUGAUAGUGCAAUUUGAAAUAAUUCUUUAUCAAUUUAAUGAUUUUUGUAUUAUACCAGUUAAUUCUGGCUUUCUACGAUAAAUAUCAAAAACUUUUUCAAUACCUUAUAAAAUCAGAAGAAUUUCUUCUUUGUGUGCUCAAAAUGUUUGCUGUCUCUUUUGACAUACAGGUAGAUUUUCCUUCUUUUGCCUGUACUGGAGUGUAACACCAGCAGGAACCAUGUACAAUUUUUGUCUAAUUCUUUGCUGUGUUGCUUUGGAUUUUUGAAAAAUUUUCUGUCAAUUAUUAAAGUUUUAGAUUUGUAUUAAAUGAGUGUGUCUUUGAUAAACCAUUGCCAUUAAAAAUGUAGCUGUUGGAAUCAAGCAAGGCAUAUUCUAGGCACUGAUGUUUUUCUAAGAAUAGAAAGUCAGUACAUUUUUGUGGUUGCCUCUGACCAUUAAGACUGGAGGAAGGUUCUUGGAGAGAAUUUCUAGCCAAGCCAUGUACAGGUAAUCAGACACUGCUCCUUUUCUUGCCACAGGGAGGCUUCUGUUUAGGCAGAGGGAAAAAUAAAAUUAUGAUUUUGAAGGCAGGAGUAGCCCAGGCUUCUCACUAAAUACUAAGUAGAAACAUCACUGUUCAUAUACAACUCUGAUAUAAUUAGACUACGGGAUUGUUUUAAUAUCAUAAGGCCUUAAUUUGCAAAUCCUUGCUCACCUGAUUGUACUGGACAUGAACUGCUUGUGAUUGUAGCCUUAAACUGGUAAAGAAUAUUUUUGGGGUCGUAAAACACACACAUAAUAUGAUUUUUUAAAAAGGAUAAAAAUAGAACACAUGCAUAGUUUUGCAGUCCAUCAGCCUAUUUUCUGAUCUGAAAUUACUGUGAGAUGAGAGUUUUAAAAGAUGGGUCAAUUUAUGGUAAGCAUUACAAGCUCACCAAUUUUUUUGAGACUGAAUUAAUGGAACUGUAGAGGUUUAUCUAUGCAUCACAAGUGCAAGCUAAUUUAUUGAAGCUGUGUAUAAAAAACGUUUCUGUAAAAAAAAAUCAAUUCUGGAAAGGGCCUUUUUUUUGGGUAAUUUUUUGUUGGCCUCUUUUCCUUUAUACAAUUGCUUCAUCACCAGGAAAGAUUCAUAUUCAGUGCAGUCCCAGAGAACCACCAGUCCAGAUGCAAGUCCUUCAAAAGGUACUUAAAAGAUUACUUUUGUGCUCAAUGAAUUAAUGAAUCAAUGAAUUAACACAAGGGUUUCUGUAGCUCCAGUUCAGAAUCCCAUUACACAUUAUUCUUAGAGUUAGAAUCAAAAAUCUUGCAACUCACAGGACAAUGAGGUUGGCUGCUCUCGAAUGCUCUUGUAAGAGUUCAUUCAGACGGACUUGGCGAUAACUCUGGUUAAAACACAAUAGGGAAAAGAAAAAAAUCAGUCAGGUCAGUGAUCCUCAGUUCUGGUGUCUUACAUACCUCUGCACUCCCCUUGUCUGCAACAUUUUCUGCUGUUGAUUUGGCAGCACUGGAAGCCAGGUCGGCUCUGGGGUCCAGAGUGAUAGCAAUGACAAAAUAUGAUGCUAAGCCACACUUUUUGAUUAGUAUAGUUACAUUAGGGCCAGAGUUGUUCGCCCCUGUGUAAGGUUUCCUGGGGAUAGGGAUUAUUUUUGUACUGUACUUUAUGGUCAAGCUCAGGCCCUCAAAAUUUUUAUAACUUAACAAGUCACAGGGAACAAGAGACCAGGGCAGGUUUGUGUAAGAUAGAUGUAUCUUAACCGAUCUUGUAAAUUACUUUCUCUUUCCCUGGAGAAAGAAGAAAGCUGGUUUUUCUCCAUUCAGACCUUAAAUUUUCCUUCUAUACGGAAAUGUCAGUGUUCUUUUACAUGUUAUAUAGGUAAGAAUCCUCAUAAUGUAGCCAGUUGUUACCUCAUGAGAAUCAUCCUAUAACAUCACCCUUUAUCUGUGCUGCCAGGUUUUUCUCUGUUGAAUUGUAAAUGUGUUCUAAUGUCCUCUGUAAAAUUCCCAGAACUGCCUUACUUCUGAUGAUAAGGGUCAUAUCUUUCCGGAUGUAUAAGCUAAACUUUUUAUUGCUGUUCUUGUUUUACAGAGUAAUUUGGCAUUUUCAUAUUGCUGACUCUUUUCAAUCUAUGGGGAGUUUUUUUGGUUCCUUAGUUAGUGACCUUGACAAGACCAAGCUUAAUCAUGUAUUUUCUUUCUGUUGUAUCCUCACUGGUUCUGCAUGCAAGUGUCUGUGAUUACAUUCCUGUUUUCUUUUAUACUGAGAUGUUUUAAGGGCUCUGACUCUCAAUUUUUGAUAAUUUAAGGUGAGAAUAAUUCUAAGGUUUUCUGCCCAUAGCUGACUACUUAUAACCUUACACUGGUUAUCAGCUCCAUGAAGAGGGUAAUAGAGUGAGCAGUCAGUCUGCUUCCCAGCUGCUGCAGUUAGUAGUAUAGUGUGUUAUCUUAAAUCAUCAUUGAUUCCUGCUGAUGUUAAUGUGUCAGGCUGUGACUUCUGGCAGCUCUGAGCUCAGAGUUGCAAUCCUUGCUCUGCUGAGAAAGUUACCAGCACCAUAAAAUGGAGAUAACUAAACUGCCAACGUACUCAAGUUAAUUCCACAGGAACUAAAAUUGCUAGAUUAAUUCUCUGGGAGUUACAGGAGAACUUGUCUCUUAAGGGUGAAAGAGUUUGCAGUAUCCUUUUGUCACUGUCCUGAUGAAGCCUGGUGGUUCAUUGGUAAAAAGGUAUUUUUCCAACAAGUUUAAAGAGCAGACUGGGCUGUAAUUGAUCCAGUGGAUCAGCCAGCAUCAGCCUUGAAGUUCCUCUGAACUGCAGGAGACCUUCUGCAUGGUAGACUGGUUUAGUCUUCACUCUGCCACUGAGGUAAGAAUUCAUGCUCACCCUUGCCUUUGGAGAACUUUCUAGCCUUAGUUGAAGUGUCUGGAUUCAGUUCUAAAUGGCCCAAAGUGGUGAGUGUUUGGAGCUGCAUCCUUUAAGAGAUUCAAGCUGCAAAACAGUGGAGCCAUUUAAUAAACCUCUCAGCAGACCCAAUUAGCUCAGGCUUAGUGCAGUAACUGUGUGGUGUCUGGUUCAGAGGUGGUUUUCAUCUGGCUGGCUUUGAUGUGGGCAAAGCUUCUCAUCAGCCUGGAAAAUGCUGUGUAAACAUGCCAAGGUCUGAGGGAGCUCAAUAAUGCAAUCAUAACACACCUCUGCAGUGUUUACAGUAUAAAUCCAAUCUGUAAAUAUCAAAUACAGGUUUGAACAUUCAUGUUUCUAAUUCCAUAUCUGGUAUUUCAAAUUUUCUUACUAAUUGCUUCAAACAUCUGGAGGGUAAGGAAAAGUACAUAUGUAAAAAGGUAGAUGAGGCUUUACCUUCUCCUUGAAUGCUUCCAGCUCUGCAUCUGUAAUUUUCCAUGGAGUCUCUCGCUUUAAUUUCUCAGCAGUUGUUAUAUCUUUGCAGCUUUCAUGGAGGCGAUACGGUUCAAUCAUCUCUUCAAAGAAUUUCCAGCUGAAACACGAAUUACAAAGGAGGCCUUGCUGCAGGAAGUGAGAAGAAAAACGUGAAGUUGCAGUGUUGAUCUCAACAUCGUUAGUGGCCAAAAUGGGGAAAUUUCAUCUAAAUAAUGCAACGGCCUGAGCUGAGGCUUGAGUCAAGUAUUCUGCCUAUGCAUAAAGUCCAAGAACCAUAGAAUUUAAGAAGAUUUGAGAGUCAUCUCCCAGAAAAGGGAGUUCUCUGCUGGGCUUUCUUGUGGUAUUGAGAUCUCCUGAGAUAUUGGCUCCUGCAAGAAUGCCAGUGGCAGCUGGGAAAAAAAUGGCAAACACCGAAAAAAAUCCUUCUCCACUUCUGAAAUCUGGUCCAAAGUUUUCUGCAAAUAUUGAUGCUGCAAAUAUAGUGUUGGUAGGAAUGACUGUCCCAAUAAAGAAGUUUGCAAUGGCAACAAGGAGAACAAUCAGAAGAAUAACUUGAGCCUAUUAAUAGAAACAAGAAGAUUCUCCUGUUGUUUUUAACUUGGUUGCUGUGGAGAUGGCUAUACAGUUUACCUUUGCUUCCCAUUCCAUGCCAGCAACAGAGAUGCCAAGAAGACACACCACAGUUAUGGUCCCUAUGAUUCUGAUGUCAUUGGACUCAUCUACCAUCAGUGUAUCACUCUCCUGAAAGUGAAUGGUUUAGUCUUCAUCUCUCCUGGGGCUAAAGAUGAUGAGCUCAUCAAAUCUCCAUAACAAGUGUGGAGAAUAGCCAAGAGGAAGAAAGGGUACAGAGCAGAAAACAGACUGCAGCUACCAAAGGAAAUAUGCCUCUUAAAGUUGCAAGGAAGUGUUUCAUCUUCAGGCAUGAAGGAGCAAAACCAAAUCUUCUCUCAUUGAGACAGGAGAUUCAUGUCCUUCUCUGUACAAUCAAGUAUUUUAUGUUCCAAAUGACACUUCAGGUCUGCUGUUCACUGUCUGCCUCUGCCUAGUAUAUGGGGCAAAAGGAAUAACAUGUAUUUUUCAGAAUACAUGAAAAAGAAAACAACUGCUGCAACUGAUCUCCUUGUCUCAGCUCCUCAUUGCAAACAGAUCUGUUUAGCAAAAGUGACAGUGCCUAAAAUUCUAAUGCCAGCCUUCUUAAAAACGGAAUUGAAUUUCUGUCAAGUACUGUCACACUUGCUAAACAGCUGUGUGUAUGAGGGUGACCUUGAAUAUCCAGAUUUGAGUCUCUGCUUUCAUAGGAUCUCCCAUGACCAGUUCAUCAGUGACAGUCCAGAUCCCAUACUGUGCACAACUGCAGGAGCACAAACAGAAGAACCAGCUGUGGAGAGUGCUGGAGUGUACAGAGCUCUGGACCCCGACCUGCCUGGGGGCUGGGUAAAAAUGGGCAAGCAGCAUGACUGUGUCUGCUUUGACCUUGCCAGGCUGGUGUAAUUACUCCUGGGAGCUGUUAACCAGACAGUUUAAGCUCCACUUUAAACGGAAUCAUCUUCUGUAACCAAGUGGAAUAAAAUCAUGGACACACACCUCUUGCAGGCACCUCCUCUAAGUCACAACCUUUUGUUGUCCUCCACUUUUGUAUCCUCAGUGUACAAGUACAGACACUGAGUUUCAGAAAAUUGUGUUGGAUGAGGAGGGGAGGGGGCUACCACUUGAACAUUCACCAUUCAUGAGCCUGUCUUUUGUGUUCUUCAUCUUUUUCUUCAGCCUAUCAUGAGACACAGUAGACAUGAGAUGCUCCUCUGAAGAGCCAGAUAGCAUCUGAUCCUUAAAACACUGGGCAUGGUCAGGACUCCUCUCCUCCUUUGAUUUGCUACCCAUAUAAACACUGGCAAAAAGAAAGGCUCCUUAACAUCCUGCUGUGAAAUAAAAGGCCAUUGGAAGUCCUUCUGAGGCCAGAAGAAACAAUCAGAGUCCUAAAGAAAAUAGGAAUGAGGAGUACAGCUUAGCACUGAGCUAAGAAACACAGAGGUAUGAGCUGGGAGUGCUGGCUGCACCUAUGGGGGGAUGAAGGGAAACACCAUGGGUACUAGGUAUUGUGAGGCAGCUGGAAGGAAGAUGUUGAAAUUCUUGUUCUAGCAGAAUCACCAGCCCAACUCUGUCAGUGUUUGGUGUUGACUGAAGAUACCAGCCCCAGCUAUUUGGUGGUUUGGAGUGACAGGGUGUCACUUUUUUCAGACCUAGCCUUUAGUCUCAUGUUUACAGAGAGACUUGAGAAGAUCAAGAAAGUAACCAGGAUAAUCAUCCUUGGGUUUUGGGUUCCAGUCCUUCUCUCACAGAACCCCCUUCAGGAUUUUUUUCUAAUGGCUCAGUACUGGAAAUGACUAUCUGUACAAGGUCUCAAGCUGGGACCAUUCAUCCUCUUGGUGCAAUUAAGCCUUGGGUGCCUGAAGACUCACUUCCUAAAUGAUAGUUUGUAACAAAAUGGACCAAAUCAGUGGCCAUCUGUUCUCUUCUUGGAUGUCUGCAGCCCAGAUGCUUGUUCAUGGAUGUGGUCAUUCUGCAAGUACUUCGAAUAGCUUCAGUCCCGAGCUUGUGCUUAAGUAACAGCAAACCUAACUUGAAAAGGGACCUACAAACAGCCUUUCUCUGGGAGCUUUGGAAGCGCCUCAUUUGCACUUAACUAUCUGUUCAGGGAAACUAAACAGUGUUCCAGAAAUGCUGUUACAGAAAUUGGUCAUAGAAGGUGGUAAGAUGAAAAGAUUAACAAUGGAGAAGUCCUAUAAAAUAGACUAGAAAUAGAAAUCAGCAUGAACAUGGAAUUCUCUUCAGAGUCUGAGCUACCUGAGUUAACACCACGUGGCCAGAAAUGCUGCAAAAGGAGCGCUGUGACUGCACAGCUGACCUGUCAUACUCGUGCUCACUGCAUGCCUGUAUUCUCUAAAUUGCUGGGGAGAACAUUGUCUCCUCAGGGUACGGGUUCUAAGACAACAUACAGGGAGGUGAAGGUAGGAAUGCCAGGGCAUGGAUGCUCAGCAAAUGAAGGCAUGGCUCACGGCUCUGCAAAGAGAGCCCCCACACAGUGUUUUUGCAGCAUGGUAACUCAGGGUGCAAGCAACACUUUUCCACAUAAACAGCACUCCCCUGUGAAGAAGCAGCAGCCGAGCAGUGACACGUCCAGCCUUCCGACACGCAAUGAAUUGCAAAAAUAAGAUUUUAUCCGUAGCAAAUACAUAAGCCUGGAGUCUUCAUUGGACAAGAGCUUCUGUGUUGUGAAUUCAAAUACGUGGUCUAAAUUUGGAUAAUACAGAGAUACAGGAAAAUAAAACGUUCACUAGCAUCAUCCUUAA